rnacentral:rRNA from 1 species
CGAGAAAGUGGAGCAAUCCAUGAGUACAGUGGCGUACGGGUGAGUAACACGUGACUAACCUACCCUCGAGUGGGGAAUAACUUCGGGAAACCGAGGCUAACACCGCAUAAUGUCUACGGACCAAAUGCGUAAGCAGCUUGAGGAGGGGGUCGCGGCUGAUUAGCUUGUUGGCGGGGUAACGGCCCACCAAGGCAAUGAUCAGUAGCCGGCCUGAGAGGGCGCACGGCCACACUGGAACUGAAACACGGUCCAGACUCCUACGGGAGGCAGCAGUGGGGAAUUUUGCGCAAUGGGGGAAACCCUGACGCAGCAACGCCGCGUGGAGGAUGAAGCCCCUUGGGGUGUAAACUCCUUUCGAUCGGGACGAUUAUGACGGUACCGGAUGAAGAAGCACCGGCUAACUCUGUGCCAGCAGCCGCGGUAAUACAGAGGGUGCAAGCGUUGUUCGGAAUUAUUGGGCGUAAAGGGUGCGUAUGCGGUGCGGUAAGUCUUCUGUGAAACCUCCGGGCUUAACU